GGGAGAGGUGAAAUUCCGUGAUCCUCGCCAGACCAACUACAGCGAAAGCAUUUGCCAAGAAUGUCUUCAUUAAUCAAGAACGAAAGUCAGAGGUUCGAAGACGAUCAGAUACCGUCGUAGUUCUGACCAUAAACGAUGCCAGCUUGGAAGUGGCGAUGGUUGUAUUUCAUGACCCCGCCACGGCCCGUCGGGAAACCAUAAGCGUUUGGGUUCCGGGGGAAGUAUGGUUGCAAAGCUGAAACUUAAAGGAAUUGACGGAAGGGCACCACCAGGAGUGGAGCCUGCGGCUUAAUUUGACUCAACACGGGAAAACUCACCCGGCCCGGACACUGCAAGGAUUGACAGAUUGAGAGCUCUUUCUCGAUUCGGUGGAUGGUGGUGCAUGGCCGUUCUUAGUUGGUGGAGUGAUUUGUCUGGUUAAUUCCGAUAACGAACGAGACUCUAGCCUACUAACUAGUUCGCCGAUCUGCUUCUGUGGGUCGGUAAUAAACUUCUUAGAGGGACAAGUGGCGCUUAGCCACGCGAGAUGGAGCAAUAACAGGUCUGUGAUGCCCUUAGAUGUCCGGGGCCGCACGCGCGCUACACUGAAAGAAUCAACGUGUUUCAAGGCACCUGAUCCGAGAGGGUUGGGCAAUCCGUUGAACCUCUUUCGUGCUAGGGAUUGGGGCUUGUAAUUCUUCCCCAUGAACGAGGAAUUCCCAGUAAGCACGAGUCAUCAGCUCGUGUUGAUUACGUCCCUGCCCUUUGUACACACCGCCCGUCGCUACUACCGAUUGGAUGGCUUAGUGAGACCUUUGGACUGGACCGUCUUUCGGGGGCUUCGGCUCUCUCUGGCGUGGCUGGGAAGAAGGUCGAACUGGACUGUCUAGAGGAAGUAAAA
rnacentral:rRNA from 1 species